UGCACUGCCCCUGACUGUAAUGCCCUAUGCUCUUUUCCUAUAGGCACUUCUCCUUGCUAAACUGGUGUCAGUUACAUAGGAUUUCUGCUCAUGUGCAUCUCAUCUUCCUACAGUUCUUUUAUCUCACUGCAUUUGAGACCAAAUUUGUCCUCCCCAGAGUACUUAAUGAAAUUGGAGGCAUUUUGUUAUAAACAUGUGAUGAAUAAAGGGAUAUUGCCCUAACACAGUACUUUUUGUUUUAGAAUCUUUCAUGGGGUAUUUGAAUGCUUCCUCUAGUCUUGAUAAGAGGUGUGAGCCCACAGAUAUCUUGUAGUAGCACACCACCUGGCAUACCACAAUAUUGACCUGGGUUGCAGAGCAAGCUUUUGCAUUCAAGAUAAGUAUAUUUACAAUGAAGAUAGAAACAGAAUUGCCUUCCUGGAAAAAACCCAAACCAAACAAGAUUAUGUAGAGGAUGAAAUCAAACCUGCUGCUGAAAGAAAAAGCUGGGGCAGCCUGCAGGCACACACAGGCACACUGGCAGCAAGCGUGUGCGUGCCUGUGCGACAGAGAGCAGGAGUGAGCGAAGGAGAGGAAGCUCUGAAACUUAAACUCCUCCUGCAGCUCUGCAUCUGCUCUGAGUCACUGCUAUGACUCACACUGACAGCGUUCACGUUAGCUAGCGUUCAGAUGGAGCAGCUCUGGCGACAGAAGAAGCAGGUUAUAUUAUUGAUUACCUGCUGCAGCAGACAGUUGCGCCAAGAUAUUUUUUUACGAGCACAGACGAAACAGAGGAGGGUCUACUGAGCACCGCUAUUAUUAUUGUUGUUUUCUUAAGAAACUUCAAGAACAUGCUUAACAUCUAAACACCAAGAUGACAGUCCCUGACUCAACACAACCCUGAAGACAGCCUCUCCAUCCUACUUGUCCACAAACUCUUCGUGCAAAUGCUGACCACCAGAGAGAACUCGCUCUGAUUCAUCUUGUUUUCAAGCUGCCUGCUAUGUCCCUCUUUCUGCUGCUGAAAUGCCAUAAAUGGUUUGUUAUCUCCAGUGAACCCAAGCAGAAGAUCCCAGCUCGGUGUUGUGCCCUCCUGCUCCUAACCUACAGGACAUCACCGGUGCUUGCACAACUGGUUUUCUCGUCUCUGCAUUACUCCAGAGCCAUGUUUUGUCAUCUCUGCCCUCACUGAAGCUGUUGCAGACUUCCUGCUGAAAUUUAAGCCCCCUUCUUCCAUUUUCACUUGAGCUGCUCUACUGUAACCUGUUUAAUGAUUCUCUCCCCUUGGUAGGUUUUCCACCUAGGUGAGCCUUAAGUGAUGCAAAGCUCAUGUAACUCAGCUCUUCCCUUUUGCUUCUGUGCUGCUUGUGUUGUGAACGACAGGCGGGGUGUUGAGCUGUCCUUUUAUUUGUUUCUUCCUUCGUAAAACCUGCUACUUUUUUUUCUGUAGCUUCCUUUGUGGCCCUGCUGUAACUGUGUUAUUCUGACCCCUUCAUUUGCCUUCCUGGCACGUGGGAAGCAAUGCUGCUGGAUUAGCUCUGGUCUCUUACAUGUUCUGCUUCCUCCGUCCUUGAGCAGAAGUUUCGAAACGGGCAGUGGCAUCGUCCUUCUGUAUGCUGUUCUACCUCUCCCUGCUGUGGCAGGGGGAAAUGACUCUGCAGGAAACACAGCUGUUGCUGUGGGUAGUAAGUGGGGAAAUUAGGGGCAUGGAGAAAAUUAAAGCAUUUCUCCCAAAUUCUUGAAGAAGCUCUGAGGCCUUCAGUGGGAGGAAGCACCUAGUCUCUUAUUUUACACAAAAGCUACAUCGGCAAUGAUUUAUAGCUAGCCUUGUUAAAUGGCUGAAGAAGUACUUAGGGGAAAUCUAGCCCUGUUAUUGAAACUAAUUUACAAGAAUCAUCUUUAAUAUGGGUGAUUUUCUGAUUGUAUUACAGUUUUACCUAAUCAUCAACCCAAGCUGGAGCGCUGCUGUAUCAGAUGCUGAUGUUUACACAGAGUAGAAGAUUGUCCAUGCACUGAAUAACUAUUUUUUUUCACAAAACAUGUUUGCCAUAUUUUAUAAGGUGAUUUUAUAUGAUGAUGAAGCCCCCUUCCAACCAUGAAGAUUCUGCAAUUCUGUGAUUUGCUAUUUGACAUCAGACAUUCUGAAAGAGGACUCUGCAAUAUAUGAAAAAGCAGCAGUAUAUGGGUGUUUGUGUAGUACAUCCUUAUGUCACAGAACAACACAGCGUUUCUGUUUUCAAAUCUUAAUUUGAAAAGGAGGGAGGGGAAAAGUUUGAGUUGGUUUUUUUACAGGCUUUUGUAACUUUUUUUGCAUAUUUUUAUACAGGUUUUUUUGCAUGUUAGAAAUAAGCCCCUGGAAACUGGAGGAAUAAAAUCCUUGCAUGUGAGCA
rnacentral:lncRNA from 1 species